rnacentral:rRNA from 1 species
GUCAACGGCCAUACCAUGAUGAAAAUACCGGUUCUCGUCCGAACACCGAAGUCAAGCAUCAUCGGGCGCGGUCAGUACUUGGGAGGGUGACCACCUGGGAACACCGCGUGCCGUUGGCAUAC